GAAGCGUAGCAUAGUGGUUCUUGGUGCAUGUCUGUCUCAUGUGAUCGUGGGUUCGAGUCCCAGGGGUUACA
rnacentral:tRNA from 1 species